rnacentral:rRNA from 1 species
GCGCCGAAAAUGUACCGGGGCUAAACAUAUUACCGAAGCUGUGGAUUGUCCUUUGGACAAUGGUAGGAGAGCGUUCUAAGGGCGUUGAAGCAUGAUCGUAAGGACAUGUGGAGCGCUUAGAAGUGAGAAUGCCGGUGUGAGUAGCGAAAGACGGGUGAGAAUCCCGUCCACCGAUUGACUAAGGUUUCCAGAGGAAGGCUCGUCCGCUCUGGGUUAGUCGGGUCCUAAGCUGAGGCCGACAGGCGUAGGCGAUGGAUAACAGGUUGAUAUUCCUGUACCACCUAUAAUCGUUUUAAUCGAUGGGGGGACGCAGUAGGAUAGGCGAAGCGUGCGAUUGGAUUGCACGUCUAAGCAGUAAGGCUGAGUAUUAGGCAAAUCCGGUACUCGUUAAGGCUGAGCUGUGAUGGGGAGAAGACAUUGUGUCUUCGAGUCGUUGAUUUCACACUGCCGAGAAAAGCCUCUAGAUAGAAAAUAGGUGCCCGUACCGCAAACCGACACAGGUAGUCAAGAUGAGAAUUCUAAGGUGAGCGAGCGAACUCUCGUUAAGGAACUCGGCAAAAUGACCCCGUAACUUCGGGAGAAGGGGUGCUCUUUAGGGUUAACGCCCAGAAGAGCCGCAGUGAAU